rnacentral:rRNA from 1 species
AACGUAGGAGACAAACGUUAUCCGGAGUUACUGGGCGUAAAGGGCGUGUAGGCGGUUGGUUAAGUCUGGCGUGAAAGCUCUCGGCUAAACCGGGAGAGGUCGUUGGAUACUGGCCGACUAGAGGACGGUAGAGGCGUGUGGAAUUCCGGGUGUAGUGGUGAAAUGCGUAGAGAUCCGGAGGAACACCAGUGGCGAAGGCGACACGCUGGGCCGUACCUGACACUGAUGCGCGACAGCAUGGGGAGCAAACAGG